rnacentral:snRNA from 1 species
UACAGAUAGCGGUGUACAU